ensembl:lncRNA
AAAUGAAAGCAUAAGUCAAAAUGAACAUCAAAACCUAUACCUGUGAUUGUAUUGACAUUUAUUUGGUUCCAGUGCGGUAACUCUGUGUUCUGUUGCAGGCCUUGGGGGGAGAGGGGCAGACAGUGCUGGUUAUGCAGCUAAGGAAGCCCCUGAAGAAACCCUCUCACUGGAGAGCCAGCCAGCCGCUGCAGACGGACCACAACUGGCACCAGAAGAACCAGUUCCUGAAGAACCAGCUGCAGAAGAAACUGUUGUGGUUGCGGCAGCACCUGAAGAGCCGACUGUAGAGGAAGUUGCCCCAGAGGAGGCUGCUCCUGUGGAGGAUGCUGAGGAGGAGGUGGUGGUCAUCCCAGAGGAAACUGCCCCUGAGGAGGAAGAGGCUGCCCCUGAGGAGGAAGAAGCUGCCCCUGAGGAGGAGGAAGCUGCCCCCAAGGAAGAAGACGCUGCCCCUGAGGAAGAAACUGCCCCUGAGGAAGAAGACGCCCCUGAGGAGGAGGAAACUGCCCCUGAGGAGGAGGUGGUGGUCAUCCCAGUAGAAUCUGCCCCUGAGGAAGAAGAAGUUGCCCCUGAGGAAGAAGCUGCCCCUGAGGAGGAAGAAGCUGCCCCUGAGGAGGAGGAAACUGCCCCUGAGGAGGAGGUGGUGAUCAUCCCAGUAGAAUAUGCCCCUGAGGAGGAAACUGCCCCUGAGGAAGAAGAAGUUGCCCCUGAAGAGGAGGAAGCUGAUCCUGAGGAGGAAACUGCCCCUGAGGAGGAGGUGGUGGUCAUCCCAGUAGAAGCUGCCCCUGAAGAGGAAGAAGUUGCCCCUAAGGAGGAAGAAGCUGCCCCUGAGGAAGAAGGAGUUGCCCCUGAGGAAGAAGGAGUUGCCCCUGAGGAAGAAGAAGUUGCCCCUGAAGAGGAAGAAGCUGCCCCUGAGGAGGAAACUGCCCCUGAGGAGGAAACUGCCCCUGAGGAGGAGGUGGUGGUCAUCCCAGUAGAAGCUGCCCCUGAAGAGGAAGAAGUUGCCCCUGAGGAGGAAGAAGCUGCCCCUGAAGAGGAAGAAGUUGCCCCUGAGGAGAAGGAAACUGCCCCUGAGGAAGAAGAAGUUGCCCCUGAGGAGGAGGUGGUGGUCAUCCCAGUAGAAGCUGCCCCUGAGGAGGAGGAAGCUGCCCCUGAGGAGGAGGUGGUGGUCAUCCCAGUAGAAGCGGCCCCUGAGGAGGAAGAAGCUGCCCCUGAAGUUGCCCCAGUUGUUGCAUUAGAUACAGAGGAAGAAGAAGCUGCUCCGGAGGGAACUGUGGAAGAGGAAGUUGCCCCAGUUGUUCCAGCUGAAGAGGAAGCUUCAGAGGGUGUUGUUGCGGCAGAAGCAGAGGAGGAAGCAGCUGCUCUGGAGGAAACUCUAGAAGAAGAAACUGCCCCAGAGGAAACUCUAGAAGAAGAAACUGCCCCAGAGGAAACCGCUGAAGAGGAAACUGCCCCAGAGGAAACAGCUGAAGAGGAAGCUGGCUCAGAGGACGUCGUUGCAGUGGCUCCUCCAGAAACUGUGGAAGAGGAGGCUGUGUCCGAGGACGUUGCUGAAGAGGAACCUGCUGCAGAGGAAGAAGUGGCUCCUGUUCCAGUCGACGUAGUUGAUGAGGAACCAGCACCAGAAGAACCUGCCCCAGAAGAACCCGCCCCAGAAGAACCCGCCCCAGAAGAACAUGCCCCAGACGAACCUGCCCCAGAAGAACCUGCCCCUGAGGGAGAGUCAGAGGAGGGAGAGUCAGAGGAGGGAGGUGAAGGUGCUGUUCUAGUAGAUACCCAGGAAGAACCAGCCGCUGAAGAGGAGACUGUUGGAGAAGAAACUGCACCUGAGGUCGCUGUUGAAGAGGAAGCUAGCCCUGAAGAUGUUCUUCCGGACGAACCUGCCCCAGCAGAAACAGCUCCUGUCGAGGAACCUGUUCCUGUUCCAGACUGCGCAAAGUGUCCAGGGUGUCCAACGAUAGAAACAGUCAACGUGGAGGAGGAGGUGGUGGUGGUGGUGGUGGUUCCCAUGGCAACUGAGUCUCCUGAGGAAGAGCCGGGCUCCCCCACUCCUCUGGAACGGGAGGCACCUGAGGGGAAGGCAGGGGGAGUAAGCAGGGGUCUGCUAUUGGGCUCCGCCUUCAUGGGGCUGCUGUCACUCAUGGCCGUGGGAUCAGCAGGAAGGGCCAUCUCCAGGAAGCUGCGCUGAAGCCUGUGAGUGUCACACAUGCACUUCACUUCACUUCACUUCACUUCACUUCACUUCACUUCACUUCACUUCACUUCACUUCACUUCACUUCCCUUCACUUCACUUCACUGCACUUCACUGCCCUUCACUUCCCUUCCCUUCCCUUCACUUCACUGCACUGCACUGCACUUCACUUCACUUCACUGCACUGCACUUCACUUUACUUUACUUUACUUCACUUCACUGCACUUCACUUCACUUUACUUUACUUUACUUUACUUCACUUCACUGCACUUCACUGCACUUCACUUCACUUCACUGCACUUCACUUCACUUCACUUUACUUUACUUUACUUUACUUUACUUUACUUUACUUCACUUUACUUCACUUUACUGCACUUUACUGCACUGCACUUCACUGCAUUUCACUGCAUUUCACUUCACUUCACUUCACUUCACUGCACUUCACUGCACUUCACUGCACUUCACUUUACUUCACUUCACUUCACUUUACUGCACUUUACUGCACUUCACUGCACUUCACUUCACUGCACUGCACUUCUCCAGGAAGGUGCGCUGAAGCCUGUGAGUGUCACACAUGCACUUCACUUCACUUCACUUCACUUCACUUCACUUCACUGCACUUCACUGCACUUCACUUCACUUCACUUCACUUCACUUCACUUUACUGCACUUUACUUCACUUCACUGCACUUCACUUCACUGCAUUUCACUUCACUUCACUUCACUUCACUUCACUUCACUUCACUUCACUGCACUUCACUGCACUUCACUUCACUUCACUUCACUUCACUUCACUUUACUGCACUUUACUGCACUUCACUGCACUUCACUUCACUGCACUGCACUUCACUUCACUUCACUUCACUGCAC